GGUGGAUGGUUUCUUACGUAAACUAGUACAUGCACAUGCACGUAUGAAACUAUCAGGUCGGUCUUUGAUCGCUGAAUCUACUCACCGAGACACACUCGCGAGAUGCCUAGAUAUUGCCGCAGGCUCGUAUCAAGUCUGUUGAUAUGUAUUCCUUUCAUAAAGAAGGUACAAUAUUACAAGAGGUACAUAGGAUUAUAUAGUAGCUAGCAUAAAUGAUAAAAUAGUCUUUUUAGAUGUU
rnacentral:lncRNA from 1 species